AUGGCUGCUGGGCUCUUAGUGGUGGCAGCAGCACCAGUAGAAGUGGUGGUGGUGGUAGCUGGCUCAGUGGCUGGCUGGAGUUUUUCAGUAGUUCUGAUGGGGUCUGGGUCUCUGCGGGGUGUAGUUGAGACAGGUAAAGAAGUUGUUGUUGUUGUUGUAGUGGUAGUAGUAGUGGCAGGAUGUGGUUUGGGUUUUUUAGACAAUUUGUUAGUUUUUUUGGGAGGUUUAUUGGGCUUUCUGUUCAUAGUGGUUAUUGUAGAUAUUGUUGUAGGAGUAUUGUUGCAGGAUGUUGUUUGUUGUGUUGUUGUAGUAGUGGUUGGAGUUGGUCGUGGCCAGGAUGUUGUUUGUUGUGUUGUUGUAGUAGUGGUUGGAGUUGGUCGUGACCAGGAUGUUGCUUGUUGUGUUGUUGUAGUAGUGGUUGGAGUUGGUCGUGGCCAGGAUGUUGCUUGUUGUGUUGUUGUAGUAGUGGUUGGAGUUGGUCGUGGCCAGGAUGUUGUUUGUUGUGUUGUUGUAGUAGUGGUUGGAGUUGGUCGUGACCAGGAUGUUGUUUGUUGUGUUGUUGUAGUAGUGGUUGGAGUCGGUCGUGUUAUAACAGGCAUUGUUACUAUCAUUAAAGAGGGUUGUUUUGUUGUGGUUGUCAGCUGUGUCGUUGUGGUAGUAGGUUGUGUAGUAGUGGUGGUAGUAGUAGUGGGUUGUGGUGUGGUUGUGGUGGUAGGUGUAGUGGUGGUAGUAGUGGGUUGUGGUGUGGUUGUGGUGGUAGGUGUAGUGGUGGUAGUAGUGGUAGUAGUGGGUUGUGGUGUGGUGGUAAGUGUAGUGGUGGUAGUAGUGGGUUGUGGUGUGGUUGUGGUGGUAGGUGUAGUGGUGGUAGUAGUAGGUUGUGGUGUGGUUGUAGCGGUGGUAGGUGUAGUGGUGGUAGUAGUAGUAGUAGUGGGUUGUGGUGUGGUUGUGGUGGUAGGUGUAGUGGUGGUAGUAGUGGGUUGUCGUGUGGUUGUAGUUGUGGUAGGUGUAGUGGUGGUAGUAGUAGUAGUGGGUUGUGGUGUGGUGGUAGGUGUAGUGGUGGUAGUAGUAGGUUGUGGUGUGGUUGUGGUGGUAGGUUUAGUGGUGGUCGAUGUAGUAGUAGUGGGUUGUGGUCUGAUGGUAGGUGUUGUAGUAGUAGUAGUAGUAGUAGCAGUAGCAGUAGUAGUAGUUGGUUGGAUUGUGGAAGGUGGAGUAGGUAUCCCCGUGGUGGGAUGA
rnacentral:lncRNA from 1 species